AACGCCCAUCAAGUCGAAUGGCGGGGCAUUUGAAUAUAUAGCUCCAAAGGAAGGACAACAAAACAAAUUUCGCGCCUUCGAAAACAAGAUGACGUCACUUUUGCUUAUAACGGACAUGGCGUCACAUUAUUUUUUCUUCCGCCGGAAGUGUUCCCACCACAUACAGAUGGCGCUAAGCCCCAUGAACCGCCGAUGGACCGCCAUGUUUUGAACGUAUGGGCUCCUAUGGAAGCUUCGCUACCAGGUAUAUUUACCUUGCGUCAUGCGCCAGACAAGCCGCAGGAGUGAGCGAGGCCGGUCGUACGUGCGAAGCUCGCGUGCUCGGCGACCCGUCUGUUUUGGAUAUAGCCCAUUUUUUGGGCUCCCGGCCUUCUCCAUGCUUCUCUUGCGUAUCGUCUGCAUUUCGACACGGCACCACUGCACUACUGGACUACGGCAAACUGAUGGCAUCCGGUGGAGCAUCGUACGGCAACGACUUCUGCUUACCUGGUGCCACAACUUUGGAUGAAUGCAGAAGAAGCCCGGAACGAGCAUUUAUAUAGAGCAAAAUAAACAUUUCAUCAUUUCAGAA
rnacentral:lncRNA from 1 species